GAUGAACGCUAGCGGCAGGCCUAAUACAUGCAAGUCGAACGGUGUAGCAAUACACAGUGGCGCACGGGUGCGUAACACGUAUGCAACCUACCUUACAUUGGGGGAUAGCCUUUCGAAAGGGAGAUUAAUACCGCAUAAGACAGUAACUAGGCAUCUAGUAGCUGUUAAAGAUUUAUCGAUGUAAGCUGGGCAUGCGUCCAAUUAGCUAGUUGGCGAGGUAAUGGCUCACCAAGACGAUGAUUGGUAGGGGAACUGAGAGGUCAAUCCCCCACACUGGCACUGAGAUACGGGCCAGACUCCUACGGGAGGCAGCAGUAGGGAAUAUUGGGCAAGGGGCGCAAGCCUGACCCAGCCAUGCCGCGUGCAGGAAGAAGGCGUUAUGCGUUGUAAACUGCUUUUAUACAGGAAGAAACGACCCUUGCGAGGGGCAUUGACGGUACUGUAUGAAUAAGCACCGGCUAACUCCGUGCCAGCAGCCGCCGUAACAC
rnacentral:rRNA from 1 species